UACGGAGGAUGCAAGCGUUAUCCGGAAUGAUUGGGCGUAAAGCGUCCGCAGGUGGCUGUGUAAGUCUGCUGUUAAAGAGUCUAGCUCAACUAGAUACAAGCAGUGGAAACUACACGGCUAAAGUACGUUCGGGGCAGAGGGAAUCCCUGGUGUAGCGGUGAAAUGCGUAGAGAUCAGGAAGAACACCGGUGGCGAAGGCGCUCUGCUAGGCCGUAACUGACACUGAGGGACGAAAGCUAGGGGAGCGAAUGGG
rnacentral:rRNA from 1 species